UACGGAGGAUCCAAGCGUUAUCCGGAUUUAUUGGGUUUAAAGGGUGCGUAGGCGGACCCGUUAGUCAGUGGUGAAAGUUCGCAGCUCAACUGUAAAAUUGCCAUUGAAACUGCGGGUCUUGAGUGUAAAUGAGGUAGGCGGAAUGUGUUGUGUAGCGGUGAAAUGCUUAGAUAUAACACAGAACACCAAUUGCGAAGGCAGCUUACUGGGAUACAACUGACGCUGAGGCACGAAAGCUAGGGGAGUAAACAGG
rnacentral:rRNA from 1 species